GACUCCGAAAAAAGAAUAAUUGCAAGAGUUGAGAAGAAAGUAAUUGAAAAAGUAAAAAGAAUUCUGGAGAGGGCAGGAAUUAAUGUGAAAGGAGUCGAUUGGUCUGAGAUACAAGACAACGAGUUCGAGUUUAGAUCUCGUUUUUCGGAUGAGAAUGUAGACCUUCCACAGAACGAGCAAGGACAUAAAUCUGUGCAAGAAUCUGACAAUGAUCAAGAGGAUAUAGAAAUUGCAUAGAACGAGCAAGGACAUCAUCAAUCUGUGAAAAAAUCUGAUAAUGAUCAAGAGGAUGUAGAAAUUGCACAGAACGAGCAAGGACAUCAUCAAUCUGUGCAAAAAUCUGAUAAUGAUCAAGAGGAUGUAGAAUUUGCACAACACGAACAAGGAACUGAUGAUGAAGAAGAUGAUAGUGAUGCGAUUCCCCCUACUCCUAGAGCAGUAUCUAAUACUAUUUUGGGUUCGACUGAUGAUGAUGAUGGAGGGAUACCUGCUCAGGAAAAGGAGAAUGUCGAGGUCCCUGCUGCUCCCAAGG